rnacentral:rRNA from 1 species
GACGAACGCUGGCGGCGUGCUUAACACAUGCAAGUCGAACGGAAAGACGAUGCUUUUGCUCCUUUGUCGUUUGGCGAACGCGUGAGUAAAACGCGAGUAACCCGCCCCUAUCUGACUGAGAAAACCACGGAAAUCCGGCGCAAACCCCGUAGAAUAUCCUGCAGCAUGUUGUUGAAUAGUGAAAGACGGCUGUGCUGUCUGUACUCGCUGCUUACCAGCUGCAUUGGCUAGUAGGUAAGGUCAAGGCUUAUCACGGCUACGAUGCGUAGCCGAGCUGAGAGGGGGAUCGGCCACACUGGAACUGAGACACGGUCCAGACUCCUGCGGGAGGCAGCAGUAGGGAAUCUUCCGCAAUGGGCGAAAGCCUGACGGAGCAACGCCGCGUGAGUGAUGAAGGUCUUCGGAGCGUAAAACUCUGUUAUGAGGGAAGAACAAAUGUGUAAGUAACUAUGCACGUCUUGACGGUACCUAAUCAGAAAGCCACGGCUAACUACGUG